rnacentral:rRNA from 1 species
AACGAACGCUGGCGGCAUGCCUAACACAUGCAAGUCGAACGAACCCUUCGGGGUUAGUGGCGCACGGGUGCGUAACGCGUGGGGAUCUGCCCUUUGCUUCGGAAUAACAGUUAGAAAUGACUGCUAAUACCGGAUGAUGUCGCAAGACCAAAGAUUUAUCGGCAAAGGAUGAACCCGCGUAGGAUUAGCUAGUUGGUGGGUAAAGGCCUACCAAGGCGACGAUCCUUAGCUGGUCUGAGAGGAUGAUCAGCCACACUGGGACUGAGACACGGCCCAGACUCCUACGGGAGGCAGCAGUGGGGAAUAUUGGACAAUGGGCGAAAGCCUGAUCCAGCAAUGCCGCGUGAGUGAUGAAGGCCUCGGGUUGUAAAGCUCUUUACCAGGGAUGAUAAUGACAGUACCUGGAGAAUAAGACUCCGGCUAACUCCGUG